rnacentral:lncRNA from 1 species
CCCGGUUCCAAAAGAUUUUGGAUUUGUAUUUGCUGACGAAACUACCCUUUAUUCCUCCCUUGGGCCUUCCGGCUUCCUUUGUUCCUCUUCUUCUCGACUGACUCCUCUUCCUCUUCCUCUCAUUGUCAUCUUCCUCUCGAUCCAGGAAGAAACCUUUCUUCGUCUUCCUCUUCCUCUCAACCGAGUAUUUUUCUUCUCGACCCAGAAAGAAACCCUUCUUCUUCUUCCUCUC